rnacentral:rRNA from 1 species
UAGGGAAUCUUUGGCAAUGGGGGGAACCCUGACCGAGCAACGCCGCGUGAGUGAAGAAGGUUUUCGGAUCGUAAAGCCCUGUUGUUAAGGAAGAACGAGUGUGAGAAUGGAAAGUUCAUACUGUGACGGUACUUAACCAGAAAGGGACGGCUAACUACGUGCCAGCAGCCGCGGUAAUACGUAGGUCCCGAGCGUUGUCCGGAUUUAUUGGGCGUAAAGCGAGCGCAGGCGGUUAGAUAAGUCUGAAGUUAAAGGCAGUGGCUCAACCAUUGUAGGCUUUGGAAACUGUUUAGCUUGAGUGCAGAAGGGGAGAGUGGAAUUCCAUGUGUAGCGGUGAAGUGCGUAGAUAUAUGGAGAAACACCGGUGGCGAAAGCGGCUCUCUGGUCUGUAACUGACGCUGAGGCUCGAAAGCGUGGGGAGCGAACAGG